GGGGGGGGGGGGGCUGAUGGAGAAAGAAUGGCGGUGCUUCCGUGCCUGGGGCAGCGCUCCCGUCCCGUCCCGUCCCGUCCCACAACGCUGCGGGAAGCGAUGGCAGCGGCUGCAAUAGAGCACGCUUUGCUUACUGCAAACUCCGCGUCUUUACGAUGGGCAGCGGCUUGGCAGGAUGGGCAGAGAAAGAAAUCGAAGGAGUCCCGAAGGCGUGUGACUCCCUGAAGGGUCGCACUCCCUGCGCUACUUCCUGACCGGGAUGACGGAUCCCGGCCCCGGGAUGCCGCGGUUCGUGAUCGUCGGGUACGUGGACGGCAAAAUCUUCGGUAUCUACGACAGUAAGAGCAGGACUGCACAGCCCAUUGUGGAGAUGCUGCCGCAGGAGGACCAGGAGCACUGGGCUGCGCAGACCCAGAAGGCCCGGGGCGGUGAGCGGGAUUUUGACUGGUUCCUGAGCAGGCUGCCGGAACGCUACAACAAAAGUGGAGGGUCUCACACGAUGCAGAUGAUGAUCGGCUGUGACAUCCUGGAGGAUGGCAGCAUCCGGGGGUACGAUCAGUAUGCAUUUGAUGGGAGGGACUACAUUGCCUUUGAUAUGGACACGAUGACGUUCACCGCGGCAGACCCGGUGGCAGAAAUCACCAAGAGGAGAUGGGAGACAGAAGGGACGUAUGCUGAGAGAUGGAAGCAUGAGCUGGGGACUGUCUGUGUUCAGAACUUGAGGAGAUACCUGGAGCAUGGGAAGGCAGCACUGAAAAGGAAAAUGCAGCCCGUGGUGCGAGUGUGGGGGAAGGAGGCCGACGGGAUCCUGACCUUGUCCUGCCACGCUCACGGCUUCUACCCGCGGCCCAUCACCAUCAGCUGGAUGAAGGACGGCAUGGUCCAGGACCAGGAGACCCAGUGGGGGGGCGUCGUGCCCAAUAGGGAUGGCACCUACCAUGCCUCGGCGGCCAUUGAUGUGCUGCUGGAGGAUGGGGACAAGUACCGGUGCCGUGUGGAGCACGUCAGCCUGCCCCAGCCCGGUCUCUUCUCAUGGGAGCCGCAGACCAACUUGAUCCCCAUUGUGGCCGGGGCGGUCGUCGCCAUUGUGGCUGUAAUCAUGUUCGUUGGAUUGGUGGUGUGGAAGAGAAAGUCAGGUAAAAGCAGAGAGCUGGGGGGAGAAAGCAGGAACUGCAGGUGGGUCCUGAACCCCCUCGGGAAUGCCCAUGGUCUGACAUGAGCCCAAUGCUGACACUUCUUUCUGUCUGCAGGGUAGGAGAAGAAGGGUUACGAAGCAGCAACAGGCCACAACGGAGAAUCCAGCGGCUCAGCCACAGCUUUAGUGUGGAACGGGGGCUCAGGAGGGGUCCCUGUGGUUGGAGCGGUCCCAGUUCCCUGCACUCCCCCGUUGGACUCACGGCCGGGGCAAUACUGGGGCCAGCCCUCCCUGCUGAACCCCCAGGGUGGUGAGUCAGGAUGUGGAUGUGGCCCCACAUGAUACCAUCUCUUCUCACCCCCACAGGAAGGGAACUUUCCAUCUGAGUGCUGUGCUACUUCAGCCAGCCCUGCAUGCAUGUGUUUGGAGUUUGUGGGUGUGUGUAUCUCUGUUUGCUCAACUUCCUGCAUCUCCUCGGGCUGACGCAGUGUGUGCUCCCCUGCUCACACACUGUUUCCAACAGUUAGCACAUGGGUUCUGCCCUGUGCUAGGCGCUCUCCUACCAUGUAGGAUUAUCUUACCCGGUGCCUGUGCCAACUGUACUCAAGUCGGAAUGCCCCAGUCUCAACUUUGUUCAGCAGCUUUCUUUGUGAAAAGCAGCUCUCAGCGCUGUGCUCAUUGUAGUCAGCCAUUAGCUUCAAAACCGUGUUGGGCAGCUCAUGCCUUGGAUGGGUGCUGCUGACCAGGCUUUGAGCCAAGCUGGCAUGGUUUUGUAAUUUUGCCAUUGGUAUUCCUCAUCAUAGCAUCAUGGACAGCCCGGGUAAUUACAGGGUUAAUUGUCCGGUUCCGUGGAUUGACAACCUUCCAGAUACCUGCUUCUCGAAAGAGAAGAAGAACUGCGUAUCCCAGAGGACCUCACGGUCAGAGAGGGAAGAUACGGCACUGAAAUCACGGGAUAUGAGUUGCGUGAUCAGGCUCACACUCUCUCUCUGACAGCCACGCAGAGUGCUGGGUGUGCUUCCGAGCUGUGCGCCUUCAUUCAAGCAGACCUUUCGGUUUUGGAAGCUUUCUCUUAUUUUAUCUUAUUUAUAACCUGUACUUUCAAUUUGAUUGUAUUAUAUUGUGUUAUCUUGCAUUCCAAUAUCACGGUUAGUAAAAUAAUGUUUCCACCUGA